rnacentral:rRNA from 1 species
CUCCUACGGGAGGCAGCAGUGGGGAAUAUUGGACAAUGGGCGCAAGCCUGAUCCAGCCAUGCCGCGUGAGUGAUGAAGGCCUUAGGGUUGUAAAGCUCUUUCACCGAUGAAGAUAAUGAC